UGCUUCCUUUAACACAGGAUUGACCUUGUUAAAUUUGAUGAACUGAGCUAUUGUUCUUGUGUUUUAUUUAAGGUAUGUACAAGAGUUAUUGUUAUCCAAAUUAAUCGUUUUAUAUAUUAAACGAAAGAAUAUUCUAACUUACUCAUUUUGAUGCUUGAUUUUGCACAUUAUAGACACAGAGGGGCGUCUACCCAUGAAGUGGCCCGAACAAAUUCAUGAAACUGGAAAAGUAACGGUGAAAAACUUCCUAAAAUAACAAUCGAAAUAUGUGACAAAAUGUUCUGAAGUACACCCAAGAUUUUUUGCAUUGCUUUCCUUGUAAAAUUGUAUCAAACUGAGUUGCAAUCCAUAAUAUUUUUAAGGUUCAUCAAAAGGAAUUUAAAAAAUAUAUCUGUAUUUACACUACAAAUCAGCUCUGAGUAUAGACAAACCAAAGCAUCUAGAAAAAUGAUUAGGCAUGGCAUAUAGGAAAUAUAUAUGCAGUCUAUUUUUCAAAAAAAAACCUUACCUGGAUUUUUUCCAGUGUGCAGAAGAUAAAAAAAAUAAACAAAUACUUGAGUUUAAUUUUGUUAUAUUCUUCAGUAGCUUAAUGACUUAUAACUAAAUCCAUGUAAAUUCUAAUACUUUGAUAAUACAGUAAGACAUGAUUACAACAACUGCUUGGAAUCCCCAAAAUACAAUUAUAUAUUUAAUCAGUUAAACUGUCACUCCAUCUGGUAGGCGGUACUAAGAUUAGAUGCACAUGUAAACAGGUAAAGCUAAUCAAGUUAAGUAAAUACAAAUGAUUGAUAUCAUUACGAUUUUGAUGCGGCUCAUUCUCUCACACGGUUUGCAUUUAUCUAUUGUCCACCUAUUGUCAAUCGAUAUAAUUAAUAUAACUUACAAUAUUGAUUAUAUGAGGGGAGCUUCUCGAACCUCAUUCCCAAAUUAGUUUAUUUUUGCACCUUCUGCAGGAAUUAAAAUAAAUUAAAAGCAAAAUCAUAAUCUGAAUUUUUUAAAUUUUGUGUAUAUAGGUACAUACUCUAAAAGUUCUUAAGAUGAACAGGUUUGUCUGUACCCAGAGUGAAAUUUGCGGUGCAAAUACAGGGUUAGGAUGAACCUUAACGGUGACAUGCCUUUGGGGUAUCUAAUAUAUGCCAAAGCAAAUACGAAGUAAAAGAGCUUACAAUACGUUUUUAUGGUAUGUAUUUUGUUAUCAAGAUGAUAUUUCGUCGUGUGAGUCUUAGAGUGUUAGAUAUCCAUUUUGAUAAAAAUUGAGAUAGCUAUAUAUUUGACAUUUGAUAUUUAUGCGCAAGGGUCAAUUUCCCUUAAUUUACAUCUAUUAUAUGGGAUUUUUACACUUUUGUCAGAACUAUAAUGUUCUAUCUUCACACGUACUCCCAUUUAAUUAUAAUAGCUUACUAGUAUUCAUCUAGUUGGACACCGGAAGUUCAGGGAAUAGUUUCAUAGUGGUGUGUGUUCAUUUUUCUAGUUUUGUUACUGUAAAAUAUUUGUUACUUAAAUUAGCAAUGUAUAACUAUGCUGAAAUUGUUUCCAUGGUUUGAACGCAAUCUAUGAGUUAAUUGUUAGCAAAAUAAUCAUUCCCGAAAUGGGGUUAUUAUACAAUUGACAAAUCCAUGAUCUAUCUCCAAUAGAUAUAUAGGGAUCAAUCUCCAAAAAAAGGAGGUGCUUCAUUCAUUUAAUGUUUUUGUCUAUUCAAAAGACAAUCGAGCAAAGAGUUACUCUUCAUAUCCGACAAAAAUCAAUUCCUACAAUAAUUUCUGAACUCUGUCAAAUAUUUUACAUGUUUUAUGAUAUCGCGUUUUUAAACUUCAUGUUCAAUUUCGCAACACUUGGGUCUAACAACAUUACAACAUUCACACGGCGAUUUUAUUUAUUUGAUUACAGUGCAAAAUGGAAAAAUAACAAGGGAAAAUAUAAUGCGGCAGGACUUAUAUUUCAUAUAAUCAUAAUUCAUUAUAAAGAUCUUAGUGUUAGUGCAAAAUGGAAAAAUAACAAGGGAAAAUAUAAUGCGGCAGGACUUAUAUUUCAUAUAAUCAUAAUUCAUUAUAAAGAUCUUAGUGUUUUGUCCUCAUUCUGAAUUUUGAUAUAUCUGAUUAAUUAUAAAAAUGUAAAAAUUGUUUUACAGCUGAUGGCUUCCUCUUUUGAUCAUUGUGGUAUUUGUAGUUCAAGACACAUUUCUAAGCCAUCCGUGGUUUGGUGCCCACACUGUGAUGAAGGACUAUGCCAUGACUGUAUAGAACACCAUAGCUUGUCAAAGGCAACAAGAAACCACAAGACUGUUAUUAUUGACGAAUACCAUAAAUUGCCAUCAUUUAUUGCGAACAUAAAUCUGCACUGCGAUGAACACAACGAGAAGUACCAAUUGUUUUGCAAGGAGCACAAUGAAGUUUUAUGUAGAAAAUGCGCUAUUUCUGCGAAACAUGUAGAAUGUAAAAAAAUGUUCCCCGUUGAAGAUGUCAUUCAAAAUGCUAAAACAUCUGUAACCUUUACCGAAAUCGAGUCCUCAUUCCAAGAAAUCAAAGAAAAUCUUAAACUUAUCCUUGAGGACAGACAAAAGAAUAUAUCUUCGCUGUUUGGUUCGAAACAGAAAAUAGAGUCCGAGAUAUCAACGAUUCGACGCCAGAUAAAUCAACACCUUGAUGAAAUACAACACCAUUUUAUUGUUGAAUUAAACAAAGCUGUGGAAAAAUCGACCAAUCAAAUACAAACCUUCAUUGCAUCUCUGAAGAAUAAACAAAGAGAAACAGACGAGUGUAUAGAAGAUGUAGAAAGCAUAAAAAAUCAUGCAACCGAUAUGCAAACAUAUAUAGGAACAAGGCUUUUAGAAAAUAAACUGAAUCAAAUAGAAAAUGACAUGCAGUCUUGGAUAAAUGGUGGUAGUUUGGCUCACACCGUAGUAUCGUACGAGAUAGACACUGUAUUAAAUCACAUUAAAAACGACAUAACAAUGUUCGGAAAACCUGUUGUAGACGUGCAAUCAUGUAAACUGCCAAUACGAAGGAGGAAAGAGAGCCAGGCUCAGUUGAUGAAAGUAAAGACGGAGCCUAAAACAAUUGAUCAUAUCACAUUGACCUUAAAAACAAAAAUAAAAAUAUCAGCGUCAAAUGUCUCAGGUUGCUGUAUUUUGCCUUGCGGUAGACUUGUUAUUUCAAACUAUGACCCCUCGUUUUUGUUGUUAUUAACACCUGAUGGGACACUUGAAAAAAAAAUAACUAAUAUAAUGCCCAAAAUUUUUGAUGUUUCUUGUGUCGUCGGUAAAGAAACUAUUGCAGUAGCAUCAGCUUCUGAUAAAAACAUUUCAAUAGUUAGUCUUGAAUCAGGGAAAACAAUAAAAAGGAUCCAAACAACCUUUUCCCUGUCUAGGCUUGACUUACACAAAUGGCAGUUUAAUAGUUUCCCCAAAUAAUGGACAGUUGCAGGAAAUCAGCUUAGUGGAUAACAAGAAAAUUGCCAUUGGUAGUUCUAUUUCCUCAAAUUAUGUUGCCUCUCUGGGAAAUAAGCUGUUCUUUGGAAAAAGCGAAGAAACAGAUACCAUCAUCUGUCAAAAUAGGAACGGUGAGAUGCUGUGGACAUUUACAAACAAAACGGCUUUACGAAAACACAGGUGUAUCGCAGUAGAUGAAUUCGGAAAUGUGUUCGUCGCUGGGAACAAAUCAAAUAGCGUCGUUGCAAUAUCUUCUGAUGGCAAAGAACACAAAAUACUCCUAUCAAAAACAGACCUGGUUGUAAAACCAUGGGCAAUCGACUACAACAUCAAAUUGAAAUCUUUGCUUGUGGCAAACGAACGAAAUGGUCAAGUACUUGUAUACAAUGUUAACUAUGCUUAAAAUAAACGCUACUGUUAAAUUGUUUUUUUAACUUAAUUAUGGACAAUGACAACUUAUUUUAUUAUACCAACUGCAUUUGAUUUCAUUUUUGGAUUGAAAGGUUGUGUAUUAGGAGGCAAUUUGUACAUAAUGUAUAUGAAAUACAUGAAAAAAUGUGUUCAAAAUAUAUUCAACUACAAGUAAAUGGUUUUGGUUUAGGUUUUUGGAUUCUUUAUCGUUUGCAUUGAUGCCACAUUUU
rnacentral:lncRNA from 1 species